UGUGCUCCGCCCGGGGUAAACGGAGAGAGGAUGUGAGGGAGAGAGGGACGCUCGCAUUAACCCUGGAGAGCCCCCCAGCCCGCCGUAAAUAAAUCUACGGGUAAAGAUCUUGGGCCUUCAACACCGCCCGCUGGGCAGCACUGAUGGUGGCUUUGAACCCCUGAGAAGACUUCAGAGCCUGGAUAGUCUCUGGACCUGGUUCAUAAUUUUGCCAUCUCUGGGACUACCAGAAGGCCCUGUUCCCAGCAGUGUAUGAAAGCAGAAUGUUAAAAAAGAGGCUACUGUGUAGCUCAGGACUAACACGUGACAAAAAUGAAGGAAGCGGGUUUAGGCAUAUGUGGAGUGCAGAUAUUGUCCUCUGAUCCUGCCAUUCAUGAUGGAGCAUCCAAAAUACUGCAAGGAUGAAAGAAUGUUGGUGUCUGGAAGACAAAAAAAGUGCACACAUUUGAGAAGAGACAAGAAUUGUGGUGGAAUUGUAUCACUUUGCAAGAGCUUACAAGACCUCAAAACAUACGCAAUUGAAUUGAGCCUUGUCACAUAAGCCACAAUGAGGCCUCGGAUGAGCGUUGAAACAGACGUCGCAAGGAAGAUGAUACACCUCAGGCCACAGGCUUCUGAACACAAUAUUCUGAGGGAAUGUGUGAUAGAUGUCUGGUAAAUGUCCCGGGAGAAAGAGGUACUUCACAAACAUCUGCAUGUUUUCAACAAUCUGUUUGGAAAACAUUGUUUCUUCAGAAUGCUGCAUUAGUUGUCAUUGGCAUCCAAUGCAUUUCACAAACAGGAAUGAGAGAAAGUUAGUCCUGGAGUGAGCACUAAGGCAUGUAUACUGAAUUUUGAUUUAGAACAAAACUUUAGAGACUUUUUGCUGCUGAAAGGAAGCUUUCACAGGAGGCAGAGCCCUAAGCUAAAGUGAAUGAAGGAGACUUACUGUCACAUCUAACUGCUUCUUA